UCUGAGCCUUGUUUACAUUAAUUUCCAUAGAAACCACAGGUCACCUUUACCCCAAUGGAUCACCAAUAAAGGUCAGUGCCUGGGACUGGCCAGCGCCUUUGUGGGCUGCACUGGCACUGGUCGUCCUGGCUCCCACUUUCUCUUUCUUAGUUCUGUCCCUUAGUGCAUUCUCUUUCUCAGGCCUGCGUCGCACACUAGGCAGGUGGGGACUGGAACCUGACUGCAGGGGUCUCUGCCACUUGGCGCCCAUCGUGGGGGCUUGAACGACAAGCAAUCACCUGCUCCGUGAGGCUACUCAGAAUAAAAAGGACAAAAGCAAAAGAAAGAAAAGAAUUGACAAUGCAGUGGACCUCGCAUCAAGGUCAAGGACAAGCACAAAAUCCCAGAAAAAAAGAGGUAUGUGCUUCAGAUGGAAGCAGGUAGGAAAGGGAGUCAGCUGGGACUAAAGCACAAGGUAAUCACUCUCGGCCCAUGCUGGCCUGCACUAUUGAAAUAAUUGCUUCAAGAGAUACUUAAAUAAAAUCAUUAUUCACCAACAGGAACUUUAGACAUGGAACUUAGGGAGCGUGUCAAAAAUAACAUCCAGACAGCUCAACGAAGAAGAAAAGUGACCUCCCCUGAGACUUUCACUGAGACCUUGAGAGCUUGGAGCCUUGUGCGCCGAGCCUGGGAGCCGCUCAAGCUUCUGCUCCAUGCCAAUCAGUCGCGGGGCAGAACGGUCCGGUUUCCGUCUUAGAACAACUGCUCGCCCAAUCGGCUGUCCUUCACAGGCGGACUGGCCUCUCAGAAAAUGUGACGCCCACCGUUACAGGCCAACCCCAGUGCUCUCCUUUGGAAGAGGUCGAGCUGCCUCCCCCUCCGCUUGAGCUGCUAAGUUCCCAGGUGCGGAGCAGGUACUUAUGAUAACAGGAAUUCAACUACUAGAACAACCAUGAUUGAUAAAAAAGAAGUCUUCCAACUAUAUUUUAUAUUUCAAAGUACUUGAUAUCCAGACUAAUAGCAAGAAGGAGUGUCCUGAAUCCUUGAAUCUUUGUUCAGUGCUUUCUGAGGCUGUAAAACCACUUACUGCAUGAUAUCUGAGACAGAAUGUGCCUACUGUUUGGAAGGACAAGUGUGAGGCAAAGUAGCGACUGUGGGGGAGAUACAAGCUGUGGAGCAUCUCUUUUUCCAGUUGAGAUCAUAGGAAGUGACAAGGUCCUGUGGUAGAAGCUGCGUCCGUGGACCCCAACUGAGCUGGCAAACGUCUCACUGGGGAAGAAUAAUCAACCCCCUUGGUGACAAUUUAUAAUGUGUAAGUUCAGCAAUCAGUCCUAGAAUGUUCUUUUUGUCUUGUUAACAAUUGCAUAAGCCCUAUAGUCUAUAAUAGAUCUAUCUCUUCUUAAAUUAACUACAGUUGAUUCUAAAUCCCCGCAGUUGAGCACUUCCCAGCGUGGGAUUGAUAGAACAGGCAUUACCCGGUUAAUAUUAAAUAUAUAACUAACUUAGUGAACACAUGCACACAAUUCACUUGUUAAUAUGUUUCUCUGUUGCAUAGUAAAAAAGCAUUUAAUAAUUGUUAAAUUCAUAUAUAUAUAAUAAAAACAUACACUCAAAUAAAUGACUUGAAAUCACAUAUUACUCUUUUAAUAUUACCUUAUUAUUCAAGCCUUGUUAUGAUUAUUAAGUCUAUAAAGAACUGUAAAAAGUUACAUUAUUUUCUAUAGUGCUUAUGCCGAGGUUUUUCUUAAUCUGUGCUUUCUGUGUUCUUCCUGGUAACUGAAAUGUAUGCUCUUGUAUUUUCCAGAAUAAGUACCAUACACUGCUUUGGAUUUGACAGAACUAACUCAGACUUUGUGAGGUAGAACUUUAGAUGAGGAUAAACCCUGAUCUGACCACCUAGAGGCUUAGGGAUCUGGGUUUAUCGUUAAGUUCCUGACUUGGCAUAACACCAAGAAAUUCAAGAAAUCUCUGCAAGCUCCAAAAAGCUCCACCAAGGUCAGAACAAAAUGAAUCUGGGCAUCAUUGCGCACCUGUGAGAUGGGGCAAGGGGCAAACGCUCUGAGACCUAUCCAGCUCUGUUCUCCUCCCGCCGCAGCCAAGAUCUUUGGGAGUUGCCAUAGUUUUGUGACCAUGCAGUACAAGCCAGGUCUCCGGAGAUGUCACGGAAGAGUAGAUACAUAGACAAAUAAAACUGGAAGCUCGGCUAGUUCCUUUUCCCAGAUAAUCAGCUCCAGAAGGGUACUUGGAAUUGUCUGUCCUUUUCCAGCAGCCAAAUUUUUAGCUUACUGAAUCAGUGAUGAUCAUACUAAUACCGAGAUACACUUCUGUCAUCUGUCUGUGACACUGUCUCAUGACUUUUCCCACCUGGGGUCAUAUCCUUCUUUUAGGCCCCGUGCCCCACCCCUUACACUCUUUCCGUCCAUUAUCAAUGAGGCAAAAAGGCUGAGUUAAAGAAUGGUAAAAAUGGUAGUGUGCAGUUUUCUUUCCUUUUUUUCCCAAAAUCUGUCUUUAUUUACAGUAAGAGUAGCUGGUAAAAAAUACAGUUUCACUGAGUGAUUUUUAGCGUCUGUGACGUGCAUAUGUAAACACACAUGCACCUGGUGUAAGACUGGAGACAAAACAGUAGGUAAGAUUACUAAGAAGGAUCUAAAAGGAAGAGAGCUUGAAGAUACUGGAGAGAGAAAACAAGGCUUUAGGAAACAGGGUUUAUCCACAUGGGGCCAUGCACUCACUAUAGGCAAUUCUGCUGUAAGGGUCGGUUUAAUUCAGAGAAAAAGAACUUCAUGAAAUAGUUUGAAAAGCCAUUUGUAUCUGCAGAUAUCUAACUCAGCCCUCAGGCAUGAUGAAUGCACCUGUGGACCUGACCCAACAUGAAAUCACUGCAGCCUAUGCAGCUUGUCUUGGAAUGAUUCAUUCCUACAGGAGACUGAGGAAUAAUGAGAAUUGUAUAAAUACAAUGAUCGAUCCAAAAGAGGAAUUAGAAAGUUUAAAACUCAUCUUUGGCUCCCAGUUGGAGGCCAUCCAUAGAUUCCAACAUAAACAACACCAAGUUCAAUUAAUCUGUUAAAUCAGAGCCAUUCUCUUCUCUGCUCUGAUAGAUCCAGUCCCCACUGGAUUCAAAGUACUGUGAGAAAAUGUUUCAGCCCUGGCAACAACCCACAGCAGCAUAACAGUGAUGCCAGUGAUGUCCCCAAAGACCUCUCCCCACAGUGGAGGUUAAUCACCCUAAUAUCUGGGUAGAGUGAGGAUCUCUUUGUUUGCACGGCAGAGUUUUAGAAAGUGAAAUUUUCUUUCCUUUUUUUCUUCACCUCUCAAGUUAUAACCCAUAGCCCUCUUUUCUGCACCCUGGAAUCUUUUCUAACUUCCAAAAUUCAGUACUCUAUAAGCCUCUUUUAAAGGUCUACCCAAUUCGUCCCACCCACCUCUAAGAACUGAAUAUUUUCUUUCUUUCCUGCCCAAACUCCCAUUCUUCAUUCACAUGCUUUUCAAACCAAUGCUAUGAGGAAAGCAAUAUUCUGAAAUCUCCUUAGAAUAUGACUGAUUUUUUUAGGUAAAAGGCUCUGUCACUCAAUGUUCUCAGAGACUCAGAUAUUUUUUACUAUAAACACUGCAAAAAGGAUUCCUCCUACCCAUGGUGAGACGUUGGACUAGACCCCCAAGGUUCGUUCAAUCUCUACAAUUGGAAGUCAUGAGUAAGCUGAAGUCCACUCAGCUCUGGCAGUGUAACAUAUGUUUUGAAGCAGAAGGUUGAGGUGAUGAAUACAGAGCUAAGUUCCAGGGGCCCUUUGCCAGCUCCGAAGCUGUUGGAGGCAAGACAUAUCAUGUUUCUAUUGCUAUUUCCACACCUGACUUAACACAAGCCCCAGGAAGACAAUAAUGUAUCAUCUUUUUUCUCAGUUAGGGUCAGACAAAGUCUAUAAAGUUCACAAAAAGCCAGUGUUACGGUCAUUUUUCUCUUCUCAAUGUACUACCCAAGUCUCUGGGAAUCUGACUCAAUUACAAUGUAAUUUAGUGUCGGGAGAAGAAGACAACAGAGCUGUCAUUGAACCUGGAACAGAGUUGUUUCCCGAGAUAUUAGCAAUUGUGGACAGUUAAGCCCUCAGGGUUUGCUCAGCCACCCACCCAACUUUCAGCUUUUAGCUGAACUUGCUCUAUUUUGAUAGCAAUUCGCUGUUGCCAUCGUCCACAUGGAUAUGCUGAGGAUGGGGGCUGCAGUGAGAAACUUGGUGCUCACAGUUCUGCCACAACAGGUGUGCAGUUACACUAGAAAGAAAGAGGAAAGAUAUGGCAAGGGAAGUUACAGAGCUGGUAAAAUUUCCUCCUUCGGAAAACAUGUAAUUUGCCUCUUUUUCCAGCCAAGGAACCGCAUACCAAUAAUAUCGGAUAUUAUCCAAGGCCAUUUCUUUAAGAGAUGAGAUGGACAUGGUGUCUUUUAGGGUUUGGUCCAAGCUCUUUCUGUCUUGCAUUACCAACAAUUCCUUUUAUUUCCUGAACAUCAUAAUUAUUUCCUAUGGAGAAGGAACAAGGAGCAGCUUUCAAAACAAGCUCAGCUAAAACCCAAGCCCGGAUAGGCAGUGGCCUGGGCUCGGGGUUACUGUGUUCCUGUUCCUCUCCAGUGUGAUGUGAAAUUCAAAGACAGAUGAAUGAGAACAAAGCUCAAUUGUCCUGGGUUUCUGUAAGUACCAUGAGAAUGCCUUUUGUUUCAUGUGGUGUAGGAUGAGGGAACUUAGUUAAGACACCAGAAUUCCCAAUAGAUAAUGCCCAUACUUGGUCCCUCAUGUUCUGUCCACAUCCGUAAAAUUUACAAUAUAAAAAUGCUGGCAAGACAAAAAGCAUUUGUGGUGGAGUAAGGUGUUCCUGGAGAGUGACUAAGGCAUGUAGAAAGGCGGUCAGUAAGUCAACAGGUCUAAUAGAGUACAUUCAAUAAACUCGAAGACUUCUGAAUGUUUUCAUACAGGGUUGGUUUAAAGAAAACUGGGAUCCUCCUGAGAAAAAUAACCGUAAAAUACAUAAAUAAUAGUGUUUAGAAAUACUUUCUCUAUAUUAGUAAAAGUAACUGCUUCCUUAGCCUCGUGUGAUGGCCCUGUAGAAUAGUGCACAGAAUGCCGCCUUCUGUUUUGGCUGACAGCUCUAGGAUGCCUUCCUAAUGGUCUACAUUCUGAACUUCUUUUCUCUCCCACCUCCAAGGUGAUCAGUGUAUUGCCUGUAUAGCCAUUUGCCAAGGAGCAGGCAAGGGCAUACGAAGAGCAGGACCAUCUGGAGAUACCCAUGGGAUUCACAAGAGACUCUGCAGUUGUGUUGGACAAGUUUCAGUGAAAACUACACAGGUUCUAUAGAACCAUGUCUUCCUAAUAUGGAGUGAAGAGUGAACCAAAGAAAUUUGCAGAUCCACAGAUUCCCAAAUAUCUUGCAAGCUGAUCCAUCAAUCAUUCUGAGUCAAGCUAUGUGUGAAGAGUUUUCUCUGCUGGCAUUUUCCUUCUGUAACAGAGGAUUGCUAUUGAAAUUUCCUGAGCAAAUGAAUUGAAGUGUCCUCAAGGAAAGCUCAGAUCUGAGAAAGGUGAAAGCCCCUGACUGAGGCCAAGGUGGGAACCUUCCAGGAAGUGGUCUGGAGUGAAGUUUGCAGGCCCUGAGCUGAGCACCAGACCGAGAAUAGAGGCUGUGGGGAGACCACUGGCUUGUCUGAGAGCCCCCGAGUUCAGUGUUUCCUCCCUACAAAACCCUUCUCACUGUCUUCAGAUGUCUCAGCUCCUUCCCUGACCUCCCUGAGACUGUGUCCCCACACCGCUGCUGUGACGUAUGUUGCAAUUACUCCUUUGACACAUCUACGUCCCGAACCAGGCCAGGGUCUCAUUAUGGGAAAGGAAUGUGUCAUCUUAUCUCUACCCUGGGUGGGAAGAAAGCAAUAGGAAAAUGUUUGCUUAUUCAUUCACAGAAUGACCCUGUUGACUCCUUCUCAGAUGAAAUACUUACACAUAAAGGCUUAGUAUGUUUUUAGCAAAGUUAUGGACUCCUGCUUCUUAAACCACGUAUGUUUUUGCCAGGAGAUGCUUCAAUCAGUUUCUGCUGCUGCCCUGUCCCCACACUGAUCUUUGGAUUUGGGUGUGCACCAAACUGAAGGCAACCAUGUUCUUAUAUCUGAAUUCUGGUAGAGUACAGCAAAAUCUGGCUGUGUUUUUGACUCUCUUAGGAAAAUCCCUGCAGGCGGCAGCAGGUAUUUUCUUCUGAAAUUCACAAUGGAACAACACAGGGGCCUGUGCCACACACACAGUCACAGUGGGAACCCACAAACCUAUGUAAAACAUCUGAGGGGAGAGGAGACAAGACUGCUGCUGAGGGUAAAGUCAGAAUGCAGGAAAUUCUGCUCUGUGGCUAGAAUCUAUUUACUCCUACAGCACAGCCAGGGUUCAUCUCAGACUCGCUCACCCUAAAUCUGGAAUGAAUCCACCCAUGACGAGGGCAGAGGACAAUAUCAUAAUCACUCAGGAGGGCUUAAUCAUCAUACAUACCCCCUAGGGGACAUGCGAGGCAUAGGGGUUGCAGUACAGAAUGGAGUGAUUUUUCUCAGGCUAAGGUUGUCUGUGUAUUGCUUUAAAUGGGUGGGCAUGCAUAACCAAAAUAAUGUUGAAAAUGUAUGGAGAAAUUUGAGAGCUUGAGAUAUGCAGGACAUUAUCCUGAUCUAACUCAGACCGCCUGACGCUGGAGUGUGUACCUGAAGUCCUCACUCUGCCGAGCGGCUGGAUAAUUACAAACCCUCACACCUUCCUCAUGCAAGUGAGAACUACAUCAACUUUAAGUGGGAAGGCAGCAAAGUACCUUCUGUUCCCAAGAAGCAGCCCCAUCUUCCGAAUCCCCCAAUUAUCUCUCACCUUCCCCGCCUCUCUGCCAGUCCCUGUAAUGUUGCCCAUGAUUAGAAAACACAGGUCUUCAUUAAAGUCCAUCCUUCCAUCCUAUUGGCUCAAAUUAAAACUAGCAGUGGCCCAUGCAGUGAACUCAGUAGGACCCUAGCUAAUCCUGUCUGCAAAUUGAAAAAUUGGCUGCUUCUUCACAUGCACCAUCUGUACCUUCAGGACAUUCGUGUUAACACUUUCUCUCCAGGGCCGUCCUUUCUACUGAAAAUCACCAAAGCAAAUGUUGCAGACUUUCUCACCCGGCCCCUGAGAUUUUUCUAAAGGGCUUCAGGAAGCCAGCAGCGAUAUGGCCACUGCACUGACGUGGUGAACUCUGCCUGGAGCUCGGAUUUCCAGAUGAUAGAGGGGACUACAGCGGCGCUGAGCCUUGAGAGUGAUGUCCCUGUUCACUGAGCAGGGGCUUCGAUUCCUUCCCUGUGUGUCAGGAUUAUUCUAAGUUCUUCAGAUAUACCAGGGAACAGAACAGAAAUCCCUGGAUUCAUGGCGAACACGCUCUGGUAAAGAAAAGAAAACCUAAGUACACUUAAUAUGUUAUAUAUUGUCCUAGGAGACGCACUGGGAUGUGUGUGUGUUUGUGUAACCUUACGGACAGUUACUGCUGUUAAUCCUUGCUUGGCAUUUGAGGAAACUGAGAAGCAGAAAAAGUCAGCACCUUCUGACGAUCUCACCGGUGAUCAGAGGCAGAGCCGGCCUUCGAGCCAAAAGAAGCUGGUGUUGGAGUCUAUGCUUUUUUUUUGGUAAGCCUUUUGAAACAGGGUUUUGCUAUACGACCCAGACUGAACCCUAAACUGACCUCAAAGUUGUGACAAUCCCGCUGCCUCAGCCUUCUGAAUGCUGGGAUGAUAGGAGUGUGCCACCAUGCCUGGCUGCAGUCUACGUUUCUGAGCACUGUUCUGUCCUUGUGUUGUCAGCAGCUGGCUAGCAGUAAGGAGGCCACGAUGUAUCUCCUGGCUUUUGGUCCAGAGUUUUAUUCCUUGGCUCACUUUCUUGGAGAAAAGACAGAUGUUCUGGUCAAGCCUCCUUGUCUGUUUCCAGCGGAGUUCUCUUUAUUUGCCCUUUUCCCAUUUCGGUGGUGGCUAAAUAUCUUGCAUUUCUGCCUAAAUUCAGCUCUGGCUCAGAUUGGUGUCCUUCCUCUCACUAAACAGCCAGAUGGCAUGAGGAAGCCCAAAUCUGCCAAGCCAAGUAAACCAAGUGCUCACUCCACAAGUCUGCUUUGACCAUUAAUAGAUCAAUAAUUCACCACAAUGCCUAGUACAUAAUACGUGCUCAGAGAAUUUCCUAUGAGCAAAAGAUCUUGGCUUUUAAAGACUUAUAUGUUCUUAUUACCUAUUAACUGUUGGUUUAAUAGCCGCUGACAAACUAGUAGCUGGCACCAGCUUAGUGCUGUCAGCUGACAAUGCAAGAAGUGACAGGCCCAGAGCUGCUGGGGUCUCAGAGUCUGCAGAGAGAAAAGAAUGGUUUUCAGUCCCGUCAGAGAACGAAAGGCAGCACCUCAUCCCAGGGACAGCUGUUCUGUGUGCGGAAAGACAGAGUGCCUAAGCAAUGCAGUUCUCUCCAGAUGUGCCUGGGGGAGCCGUGUCCAGUGUCCGACAGUUUGCAAAAUGCAAAUUGCCCCUGUUCUUCAGGUCCAGAGCAGAGGUGUGUGUGGGAACUCCAGGGAGGAGGAGGAGGCCCAUGGAGUAGGUUUCAGAUGCACCUACAGCACGACCUCUCCUUAUACACAGGGCCCUGAGGUCCCGGGGACACAGGAAGCACCGCAAUCACAAACACACACUACAUGCCACACACAGGGAGCCGUGUGCAAGGCUGACACCGAGAAAACCCUGAAUUUUACAUGUCUCCGAUUGGUAAGAUGGGAGCUUAGUCUUUGACAAAUUAAUGGUAAUGGAACUUAAAUUGAAAGCACCACAAUGAACUAAUGGAGAAACUCACAUGUGAUUUAAGUCCCAUAGCCUGUGAAUUGGUUGUGGAUCUGGUAGUAAAAGUCAAAGGAAUGGAAAGGACCACUUGCUAGAACCUGAAUUUGAUGGACAAAGUUUUAAGGUUAAUUUUUUGUUGUGGUUGCUUUGGUUUUUUUGGUACCAGGGAUGGAACUCGGGACCUUGCACUUGCAAGGCAGGUGGCAGAACCACUGAGCAAAAUCCCUGGCCCUUAAGGUUAGUUUUAAACCACAGCUCAUUAAGUAACCUCUAGUAAGAGGCAGAUACGGAAUAAAGUGCUUCACAUCACACCUCUAAGUCAUAAACAAACUUAUCGCAAAUUCCACUUUCAUUUCCUAAGUGAAGGAACAUGCUCAGAAGGUUCAGGACAGCCCAGAUAGGAUCAGGCAAGACUUAGGGUAAGCCUGGCUCCAGGGCUUUGCUCCAAACAUUCUCUAAUCACACACAGCCAGUAAGGAACAUUGCGUCUCUGGGCUCAUGCCUGUCUGUGUGGGCUGUGUUGUACAUGCCGUGGAUUCGUGUGCAUACCCUAACUAGUACAUUUGGCUGGUAGAAAAGUUCACUUUCCAAUUGAUUAACCUGAAAACUUGCACUUUUCAAUGACCUCAUCCAAUGCAUAAGAAAUUGGUAUCCUACUUCAUGUCCGAGAAGACAGUGAAUGAAACAUAGAGUCAUAUUAUCCUUCUAUUUCCACAACCCUUCUACUUAUGUUAAACGAAAUGCCAGGGUCUUGUUCAAAGAGGCCCUGUUCAUGAGCACGUGUGUUUGAGCAUCUCCUAUCAUCCUUGUUGUAUUUCUGCUCAUUGUUGUUGUUGUCCAUGGAGUAGUGACAAUGGUGGUGGUGAUUGUCUUUUUGUUGUUGUUCUCUUGCUGUACUUGCAACAGUGUGGCUCAAGCAGUUACUGAAUGAAUAAAAGGGAUU